GAUGAACGCUGGCGGCGUGCCUAAUACAUGCAAGUCGAGCGAACAGACGAGGAGCUUGCUCCUCUGACGUUAGCGGCGGACGGGUGAGUAACACGUGGAUAACCUACCUAUAAGACUGGGAUAACUUCGGGAAACCGGAGCUAAUACCGGAUAAUAUAUUGAACCGCAUGGUUCAAUAGUGAAAGACGGUUUUGCUGUCACUUAUAGAUGGAUCCGCGCCGCAUUAGCUAGUUGGUAAGGUAACGGCUUACCAAGGCAACGAUGCGUAGCCGACCUGAGAGGGUGAUCGGCCACACUGGAACUGAGACACGGUCCAGACUCCUACGGGAGGCAGCAGGAGGGAAUCUUCCGCAAUGGGCGAAAGCCUGACGGAGCAACGCCGCGGGAGUGAUGAAGGUCUUCGGAUCGUAAAACUCUGUUAUUAGGGAAGAACAAAUGUGUAAGUAACUAUGCACGUCUUGACGGUACCUAAGCAGAAAGCCACGGCUAACUACGU
rnacentral:rRNA from 1 species